AACGAACGCUGGCGGCAUGCCUAACACAUGCAAGUCGAACGAGACCUUCGGGUCUAGUGGCGCACGGGUGCGUAACGCGGGGGAACCUGCCCUUAGGUUCGGAAUAACUCCCCGAAAGGGGUGCUAAUACCGGAUAAUGUCUUCGGACCAAAGAUUUAUCGCCUUUGGAUGGGCCCGCGUUGGAUUAGCUAGUUGGGAGGGUAAAAGCCUACCAAGGCGACGAUCCAUAGCUGGGCUGAGAGGAUGAUCAGCCACACUGGGACUGAGACACGUCCCAGACUACUACGGGAGGCAGCAGUGGGGAAUAUUGGACAAUGGGCGAAAGCCUGAUCCAGCAAUGCCGCGUGAGUGAUGAAGGCCUUAGGGUUGUAAAGCUCUUUUACCCGGGAUGAUAAUGACAGUACCGGGAGAAUAAGCGCCGGCUAACUCCGUG
rnacentral:rRNA from 1 species